rnacentral:tRNA from 1 species
GCCCGGGUGGCAGAGAGGCUAUGCGUCUGACCGCAGAUCGGAGAAGGUGAGUUCAAUUCUCAUCCCGGGCU